GGACGAACGCUGGCGGCGUGCCUAAUACAUGCAAGUUGAGCGAUGAAGAUUGGUGCUUGCACCAAUUUGAAGAGCAGCGAACGGGUGAGUAACGCGCGGGGAAUCUGCCUUUGAGCGGGGGACAACAUUUGGAAACGAAUGCUAAUACCGCAUAACAACUUUAAACAUAAGUUUUAAGUUUGAAAGAUGCAAUUGCAUCACUCAAAGAUGAUCCCGCGUUGUAUUAGCUAGUUGGUGAGGUAAAGGCUCACCAAGGCGAUGAUACAUAGCCGACCUGAGAGGGUGAUCGGCCACAAUGGGACUGAGACACGGCCCAAACUCCUACGGGAGGCAGCAGUAGGGAAUCUUCGGCAAUGGACGAAAGUCUGACCGAGCAACGCCGCGUGAGUGAAGAAGGUUUUCGGAUCGUAAAACUCUGUUGGUAGAGAAGAACGUUGGUGAGAGUGGAAAGCUCAUCAAGUGACGGUAACUACCCAGAAAGGGACGGCUAACUACGUG
rnacentral:rRNA from 1 species